UACGGGGGGGCAAGCGUUGUUCGGAAUUACUGGGCGUAAAGGGCUCGUAGGUGGCCAACUAAGUCAGACGUGAAAUCCCUCAGCUUAACUGGGGAACUGCGUCUGAUACUGGAUGGCUUGAGUUUGGGAGAGGGACGCGGAAUUCCAGGUGUAGCGGUGAAAUGCGUAGAUAUCUGGAGGAACACCGGUGGCGAAGGCGGCAUCCUGGACCAACACUGACACUGAUGAGCGAAAGCCAGGGGAGCAAACGGG
rnacentral:rRNA from 1 species